rnacentral:rRNA from 1 species
CCUACGGGUGGCAGCAGUGGGGAAUAUUGGACAAUGGGCGAAAGCCUGAUCCAGCCAUGCCGCGUGUGUGAAGAAGGCCUUCGGGUUGUAAAGCACUUUCAGUGGGGAAGAAAGCCUUGGGGCUAAUACCCUCGAGGAAGGACAUCACCCACAGAAGAAGCUCCGGCUAACUCCGUGCCAGCAGCCGCGGUAAUACGGAGGGUGCGAGCGUUAAUCGGAAUUACUGGGCGUAAAGCGCGCGUAGGCGGUCUGAUAAGCCGGUUGUGAAAGCCCCGGGCUCAACCUGGGAACGGCAUCCGGAACUGUCAGGCUAGAGUGCAGGAGAGGAAGGUAGAAUUCCCGGUGUAGCGGUGAAAUGCGUAGAGAUCGGGAGGAAUACCAGUGGCGAAGGCGGCCUUCUGGACUGACACUGACGCUGAGGUGCGAAAGCGUGGGUAGCAAACAGGAUUAGAUACCCCUGUAGUC